rfam:Drosophila willistoni strain TSC#14030-0811.24 scf2_1100000004521 genomic scaffold, whole genome shotgun sequence.
GACAGUGUGGCCGAGCGGUCUAAGGCGCUGGUUUUAAGCACCAAUCCGAAAGGGCGUGGGUUCGAAUCCCACCGCUGUCA